GACGAACGCUGGCGGCGUGCCUAAUACAUGCAAGUAGAACGCUGAAGAGAGGAGCUUGCUCUUCUUGGAUGAGUUGCGAACGGGUGAGUAACGCGUAGGUAACCUGCCUUGUAGCGGGGGAUAACUAUUGGAAACGAUAGCUAAUACCGCAUAACAAUGGAUGACACAUGUCACUUAUUUGAAAGGGGCAAUUGCUCCACUACAAGAUGGACCUGCGUUGUAUUAGCUAGUAGGUGAGGUAAUGGCUCACCUAGGCGACGAUACAUAGCCGACCUGAGAGGGUGAUCGGCCACACUGGGACUGAGACACGGCCCAGACUCCUACGGGAGGCAGCAGUAGGGAAUCUUCGGCAAUGGGGGCAACCCUGACCGAGCAACGCCGCGUGAGUGAAGAAGGUUGUCGGAUCGUAAAGCUCUGUUGUAAGUCAAGAACGGGUGUGAGAGUGGAAAGUUCACACUGUGACGGUAGCUGACCAGAAAGGGACGGCUAACUACGUG
rnacentral:rRNA from 1 species